GGGGUUGUGGCUCAGUGGCAGAGCGCUUGUCUCACACACAUGAGGCAUGGGGGUUGAUCCUCAGCACCA
rnacentral:tRNA from 1 species